CUGUCUCUGGGAUGUUCGCCAGCCGGUCUGAUUCCCCUGAGCCGAUAUCAUCUCUUUAGGAUGGUGUUCUGCAUAUUUAGAGCGUAUGCCUACCCCGAGUAGGAAACCCAGCAAGUAUGC
rnacentral:sRNA from 1 species